rnacentral:rRNA from 1 species
AUUGAACGCUGGCGGCAGGCCUAACACAUGCGAGUCGAGCGGUAGCACAGAGAGCUUGCUCUCGGGUGACGAGCGGCGGACGGGUGAGUAAUGUCUGGGAAACUGCCUGAUGGAGGGGGAUAACUACUGGAAACGGUAGCUAAUACCGCAUAACGUCGCGAGACCAAAGUGGGGGACCUUCGGGCCUCAUGCCAUCAGAUGUGCCCAGAUGGGAUUAGCUGGUAGGUGGGGUAACGGCUCACCUAGGCGACGAUCCCUAGCUGGUCUGAGAGGAUGACCAGCCACACUGGAACUGAGACACUGUCCAGACUCCGACGGGAGGCAGCAGUGGGGAAUAUUGCACAAUGGGCGCAAGCCUGAUGCAGCCAUGCCGCGUGUGUGAAGAAGGCCUUCGGGUUGUAAAGCACUUUCAGCGGGGAGGAAGGCGAUGAGGUUAAUACCUUUGCUCAUUGACGUUACCCGCAGAAGAAGCACCGGCUAACUCCGUGCCAGCCGCCGCAGUAA